CGCGCGCUCGCCUCGCUCCUUCCUCAAGCUCCUCGCCGUAGGGCUUGCAAUGCGGGAUUGGCAAGGGACACAUGUUGCAACUGAAGAAGAGGCUAGGGCAACUUGGCGGUCAGUUCGGGCUCGGUAUGAAGGGGAACAAGCUCCAUGAUCGUUGUCCAUGGUGGCCAUGCUGACAAUGCAGGUGGAGGUCCCGGCGCCGCUAGCCUUCCCACCAACGAGCUCGCUGCCGGUCCAAGCGGAGGUGUCGGAAGUUUACAGGAAGCAGGGGCUAGAUGGAUGAGGUUCUUAGUCAGAUAUAGCCAAAAGCCAUAGAUCGGUUGGUGGCAAGAACUCCAUCCAUCUAACCCCUACUUCCUCCCAACUUCUGACACCUCUGCCUGGACCAGCAGUGAGCUUGUCCACGUGAGGGCAGGCCAGGCGGCACCAACACCUCCACUAGCGCUGUUAGCAUGACUACCACACACGAUGACCGGGGAAGCUUGUCCUCCUUCUAGUCGAGCCCAAACCGGUCGCCAAGAGACAGUCUGAGGCUGAGCUUCAUCUCCAUCCGAAGUUGCCCCAACAUUGAACGAAGAAGGCAAUCUUUCUUCCUCACGAGCAAGAUCAGAGCACCCAAGGAUUUGAAUUUCUUGUAUGUAAUCUAGAAGCAAGAUCGCGAGACGUCCCUAUCUAUAACACAACGCUGAUGUCCUCAAGGUUUUCAUUGUCGAAGAGUGAAAGAUCUCACAAGUCCUCCAUACGUUAGUUUCUAUUCUGGCCCAACAAUGAAGGUUGGUCUGCAACAUUCCCAGGUACAAUGGCAAUCAACGUCCUUCAAUUCAUGCUAAUUAAGAACUCAACAUGUCAUUGUACUUUGGCAAAAGACGAAGGAUAUUCAAGACAAAACCAGCAAUCGCACAAGCAUGUGCCAGCAGACAAUCCCCUCUCUCCUUCAUAGGCUGGCUGAAGUGGCAUUUCUCCUUCCUGCAAUGCAAGUCGCUGACGUCCACACUCCACAUCCUGCAACCUCCUAUCUCCUUCCUACCUGCAGUCCAUCUGCCAUGGCUCUUCUUAAUUGCUAUAACGGUGAAGUUAAAAAUAAUUAUUUUAUUGGUUUCUACUAGUUUUUUUCUGAGAAGAAAAAUAAAAAAAACUCGUUAUUAUCUGGUAUAAGAUGCAUAGAGAUAUCGAAGCCACAGGUAGAAAAAGCAGUAUACCUUGUUCUUCGACAUGUUUUCUCUUACAAUAAAUUAGUAGUAGCAUAAGCUAAAUUUUAGCAAAGCAGGGCAAUGACAUUAUUAUUGUAAUAUAUAGAGUAUCUGAUUCGAUGACGAUCUCGAUAUUUAACAGGUAGAUUAACGCGUGAGAUGGGUUAAGCUAGUUAAUGACGUACCCAGCGG